AGAGUUUGAUCCUGGCUCAGGAUGAACGCUAGCUACAGGCUUAACACAUGCAAGUCGUGGGGCAGCAUGGCGGUUGCUUGCAACCUCUGAUGGCGACCGGCGCACGGGUGAGUAACGCGUAUCCAACCUUCCCCCCAGUAGGGAACAGCCCGGCGAAAGUCGGAUUAAUGCCCUAUGUUCUCCUUUGCAGGCAUCUAAGAAGGAGCAAAGACUUGUCGCUAGGGGAUGGGGAUGCGUCUGAUUAGGCAGCAGGCGGGGUAACGGCCCACCUGGCCUACGAUCAGUAGGGGUUCUGAGAGGAAGGUCCCCCACACUGGUACUGAGACACGGACCAGACUCCUACGGGAGGCAGCAGUGAGGAAUAUUGGUCAAUGGGCGGAAGCCUGAACCAGCCAAGUAGCGUGCAGGAUGACUGCCCUAUGGGUUGUAAACUGCUUUUAUGCGGGAAUAAAGUCCUCCACGUGUGGAGGUUUGUAUGUACCGCAUGAAUAAGGACCGGCUAAUUCCGUGCCAGCAGCCGCGGUAAUACGGAAGGUCCGGGCGUUAUCCGGAUUUAUUGGGUUUAAAGGGAGCGCAGGCCGGACUUUAAGCGUGCUGUGAAAUGCCGUGGCUCAACCAUGGAAGUGCAGCGCGAACUGGGGUCCUUGAGUGGGUACGACGCCGGCGGAAUUCGUGGGUGUAGCGGUGAAAUG
rnacentral:rRNA from 1 species